CCUACGGGAGGCAGCAGUGAGGAAUAUUGGUCAAUGGACGAGAGUCUGAACCAGCCAAGUAGCGUGAAGGAUGACUGCCCUAUGGUUUGUAAACUUCUUUUAUAUGGGAAUAAAAUGUUCCAUGUGUGGGAUUUUGUAUGUACCAUAUGAAUAAGGAUCGGCUAACUUCGUGCCAGCAGCCGCGGUAAUACGGAGGAUCCGAGCGUUAUCCGGAUUUAUGGGGUUUAAAGGGAGCGUAGGUGGAUUGUUAAGUCAGUUGUGAAAGUUUGGGGCUCAACCGUGAAAUUGCAGUUGAAACUGGCAGUCUUGAGUACAGUAGAGGUGGGCAGAAUUCGUGGUGUAGCGGUGAAAUGCUUAGAGAUCACGAAGAACUCCGAUGGCGAAGGCAGCUCACUGGACUACAACUGACACUGAGGCGCGAAAGUGUGGGGAGCAAACAGGAUUAGAUACCCGGGUAGUC
rnacentral:rRNA from 1 species